rnacentral:tRNA from 1 species
GCCCUAAUAGUAUAACUAUUACCUUGGUCUUGUAAACCAAAAAUGAAG